rnacentral:rRNA from 1 species
AAGAGACAGCAGUAGCCACGGGAAUACGUAGGGUGCAAGCGUUAAUCGGAAUUACUGGGCGUAAAGCGUGCGCAGGCGGUUAUAUAAGACAGAUGUGAAAUCCCCGGGCUCAACCUGGGAACUGCAUUUGUGACUGUAUAGCUAGAGUACGGCAGAGGGGGAUGGAAUUCCGCGUGUAGCAGUGAAAUGCGUAGAUAUGCGGAGGAACACCGAUGGCGAAGGCAAUCCCCUGGGCCUGUACUGACGCUCAUGCACGAAAGCGUGGGGAGCAAACAGGAUUAGAUACCCCCGUAGUCCCUGUCUCUUAUAC